UACAGAGGAGCCAAGCGUUGUCCGGAUUGACUGGGCGUAAAGCGCACGCAGGCGGUUGCGCGCGUGGGGUGUGAAAUCUGGCCGCUUAACGGCCAGGCGCCAUCCCAUACGGCGCGACUGGAGGGCUGCAGAGGUCGAUGGAAUUGCCGGUGUAGUGGUGAAAUGCGUAGAGAUCGGGCAGGAACACCCAGGGGGAAACCAGUCGA
rnacentral:rRNA from 1 species